GAAACGCGAUAGUUAAUGUGAAUUGCAGAAUUCAGUGAAUCAUCGAGUCUUUGAACGCACAUUGCGCCUUUUGGUAUCCUCGUCUGUUCGAGCGUCAGUAAAACCCUUCCGGACCGACGGUUUUUUGCGAAACCUGCCUGGCCUCGGGACCCUGGCGUGGGGAAGUGACCGCCGCUGUGUUCUAGUGACCGGCGAGCCUGGGUCGUCCCCCGCUUAAACGCGGAGAAAGCUAGCGGGCACGCCCCACAUUGCGACAACUCGUAAAUUUUUUUGCUGUUGUUAAGUCAUAGUGAACGUUGCCCCGCCUAUUUCAAACACAACUUUACCUGACCCUUGACCUCGGAUCAGACGAGGAUACCCGCUGAACUUAA
rnacentral:misc_RNA from 1 species